GACGAACCGUGCGAACGUUAUUCGGAAUCACUGGGCUUAAAGGGUGCGUAGGCGGGUUAUUAAGUCAGUGGUGAAAUCUUGCAGCUUAACUGUAAAAUUGCCAUUGAUACUGAUGAUCUUGAGUACGUUUGAAGUGGGCGGAAUAUGUCAUGUAGAGGUGAAAUUCUUAGAGAUGACAUAGAACACCGAUUGCGAAGGCAGCUCACUAAACUGUAACUGACGCUGAGGCACGAAAGCGUGGGGAUCAAACAGG
rnacentral:rRNA from 1 species